GUAGGUGGCAAGCGUUGUCCGGAAUUAUUGGGCGUAAAGCGCGCGCAGGCGGUUCUUUAAGUCUGAUGUGAAAGCCCACGGCUCAACCGUGGAGGGUCAUUGGAAACUGGAGAACUUGAGUACAGAAGAGGAAAGCGGAAUUCCACGUGUAGCGGUGAAAUGCGUAGAGAUGUGGAGGAACGCCAGUGGCGAAGGCGGCUUUCUGGUCUGUAACUGACGCUGAGGCGCGAAAGCGUGGGGAGCAAACAGGAUUAGAUACCCUGGUAGUCCACGCCGUAAAUGAUGAGUGCUAAGUGUUAGGGGGUUUCCGCCCCUUAGUGCUGCAGCUAACGCAUUAAGCACUCCGCCUGGGAGUACGGCCGCAAGGCUG
rnacentral:rRNA from 1 species